UCGCCCUUGGAUCCAGACUUUGAUUCUGGCUCAGGACGAACGCUGGCGGCGCGCCUAACACAUGCAAGUCGAACGAGCGAGAGAGAGCUUGCUUUCUUGAGCGAGUGGCGAACGGGUGAGUAACGCGUGAGGAACCUGCCUCAAAGAGGGGGACAACAGUUGGAAACGACUGCUAAUACCGCAUAAGCCCACAGCUCGGCAUCGAGCAGAGGGAAAAGGAGCAAUCCGCUUUGAGAUGGCCUCGCGUCCGAUUAGCUAGUUGGUGAGGUAAUGGCCCACCAAGGCGACGAUCGGUAGCCGGACUGAGAGGUUGAACGGCCACAUUGGGACUGAGACACGGCCCAGACUCCUACGGGAGGCAGCAGUGGGGAAUAUUGCACAAUGGGGGAAACCCUGAUGCAGCGACGCCGCGUGGAGGAAGAAGGUCUUCGGAUUGUAAACUCCUGUUGUUGAGGAAGAUAAUGACGGUACUCAACAAGGAAGUGACGGCUAACUACGUGCCAGCAGCCGCGGUAAAACGUAGGUCACAAGCGUUGUCCGGAAUUACUGGGUGUAAAGGGAGCGCAGGCGGGAAGACAAGUUGGAAGUGAAAUCCAUGGGCUCAACCCAUGAACUGCUUUCAAAACUGUUUUUCUUGAGUAGUGCAGAGGUAGGCGGAAUUCCCGGUGUAGCGGUGGAAUGCGUAGAUAUCGGGAGGAACACCAGUGGCGAAGCGGCCUACUGGGCACCAACUGACGCUGAGGCUCGAAAGUGUGGGUAGCAAACAGGAUUAGAUACCCUGGGUAGUCCACACUGUAAACGAUGA
rnacentral:rRNA from 1 species